CACGGGGGAGCAAGCGUUGUUCGGAAUCACUGGGCGUAAAGGGCGUGUAGGCGGUCAGGUAAGUGGGAUGUGAAAUGCCCCGGCUCACCCGGGGACCGGCAUCCCAAACUGCCUGGCUUGAGUAUGGGAGAGGAUGAGGGAAUUCCUGGUGUAGCGGUGAAAUGCGUAGAUAUCAGGAGGAACACCGGUGGCGAAGGCGCUCAUCUGGCCCAAUACUGACGCUGAGGCGCGAAAGCUAGGGGAGCAAACGGG
rnacentral:rRNA from 1 species